rnacentral:rRNA from 1 species
GGGGGGAGCAAACGUUUGUUUCGGAAUUACUGGGCGUAAAGGGCGCGUAGGCGGCCCUGCAAGUGGUGUGUGAAAUGCCCUGGCUCAACCAGGGAACUGCGCACCAAACUGCAAGGCUUGAGGGCAGUAGAGGAAGCUGGAAUUCCUGGUGUAGCGGUGAAAUGCGUAGAUAUCAGGAGGAACACCGUUGGCGAAGGCGAGCUUCUGGGCUGUCCCUGACGCUGAGGCGCGAAAGCUGGGGGAGCGAACAGGGAUUAGAUACCCUGGUAGUCCCAGCUGUAAACGGUGAACACUAGGUGUGGGGGGGUGUCGACCCUUUCCGUGCCCGUAGCUAACGCAUUAAGUGUUCCGCCUGGGGGAGUACGGUCGCAAGGCUG